rnacentral:RNase_P_RNA from 2 species
GAAGUAUGCCGGGCAAUCGCCGGUGCAGUGUCGAAAGACCGCACGGGAGGAAAGUCCGAGCUCCGCAGGGCAAGGUGCCGGAUAACGUCCGGCGGGAGCGAUCCUAGGGAUAGUGCCACAGAAAUGUAGACCGCCGAUGGAAGUGUGUCCUAACGGACACACUUCACAGGCAAGGAUGCAACGGUGCGGUAAGAGCGCACCAGCAGCCUGGAGACAGGCUGGCUAGGUAAACCCCACCCGGAGCAAGACCGUAUAGGAGUGCACAUGUGGUUGCCCGUCACGCACUCGGGUAGGUCGCUUGAGCUUACUGGCAACAGUCGGCCUAGAUAGAUGAUUGCCGCUCCAAGGUGCGAGGCAUGGAGCCCGAAGCGCGACCUUCUGGGUUCCGUUUACUGGUAGAUGCCGUUUGCAGCACAGGAGGACAGAACUCGGCUUACAGGCAUGCUUCCCCU